rnacentral:lncRNA from 1 species
GGAGAAUUGAGCUUUUACUUUCACAAUUUGAACAGAGAAGAGUAAUCCCAUUUGUUACACUACUCAUUGGACUAAUGAAGGGAAGGUGACAUCUGUAAGGCUGACUGCGUUGGAGCUGCGGAUCUAAUUUCCUCUUCUCUGGGCCAACUGCACAUAAACUGGUUAACGGAGCACACAGCAUCACCAUGGGCUCUAAAGGCAUCUAAGCUCUGUGUCCAUAGCAGCUCUUCUUGCUACAAUAAGAGGGUAAGAAAGCAGAAGGAGUUGAGAACUUUGUCCUUCCUGAAGCAUGGAAAAGAGGGAGAGAAAGGUACUUUUCAAUGCUAUUCUGCUGA